rnacentral:rRNA from 1 species
UACGGGGGGGGGCAAGCGUUGUUCGGAAUUACUGGGCGUAAAGGGCGCGUAGGCGGUUCGCUAAGUUGGAUGUGAAAACUCUGGGCUCAACCCAGAGCCUGCAUCCAAAACUGGCGGGCUAGAGUUCUGGAGGGGGUAGCGGAAUUCCUGGUGUAGCGGUGAAAUGCGUAGAUAUCAGGAGGAACACCGGUGGCGAAGGCGGUUCUCUGGGCCUUACCUGACGCUGAGGAGCGAAAGCGUGGGGAGCGAACAGG